rfam:Beta vulgaris subsp. vulgaris Bvchr8.sca018.con0087.1, whole genome shotgun sequence.
UGUCAUGCUUUUCCACAGCUUUCUUGAACUUUCCGCUCGUCGUGUUCGUACGUCUCCUCUAACUAAUUACAUUCAUGGUGAUCAUGUUUAUGGUGGAGGAGAUCCACGAGGCGAACCGAAUCCAUAAAAUUCACCAUGGAAAGUUCAAGAAAGUUGUGGGAAAAUAUGGCGU